rnacentral:rRNA from 1 species
UAGGGAAUCUUCCACAAUGGACGCAAGUCUGAUGGAGCAACGCCGCGUGAGUGAAGAAGGGUUUCGGCUACGUAAAGCUCUGUUGUUAAAGAAGAACAUGCGAGAGAGUAACUGUUCUUGUAUUGACGGUAUCUAACCAGAAAGCCACGGCUAACUACGUGCCAG